rnacentral:rRNA from 1 species
GAUGAACGCUGGCGGCGUGCUUAACACAUGCAAGUCGAACGAAGCACUUUAUUUGAUUUCCUUCGGGACUGAUUAUUUUGUGACUGAGUGGCGGACGGGUGAGUAACGCGUGGGUAGCCUGCCUUGUACAGGGGGAUAACAGUUGGAAACGGCUGCUAAUACCGCAUAAGCGCACAGCAUCGCAUGAUGCAGUGUGAAAAACUCCGGUGGUAUAAGAUGGACCCGCGUUGGAUUAGCUAGUUGGUGAGGUAACGGCCCACCAAGGCGACGAUCCAUAGCCGACCUGAGAGGGUGACCGGCCACAUUGGGACUGAGACACGGCCCAAACUCCUACGGGAGGCAGCAGUGGGGAAUAUUGCACAAUGGGCGAAAGCCUGAUGCAGCGACGCCGCGUGAGCGAAGAAGUAUUUCGGUAUGUAAAGCUCUAUCAGCAGGGAAGAUAAUGACGGUACCUGACUAAGAAGCACCGGCUAAAUACGUG